CGCGAGCGCCCACAGCCGCCUGGCCAUGCGGACCCGGAGUCCAGCCGCAGGGCGCGAGCAGAAUCCCGUCAGUCAGCUUUGCGGUCCUGGCAGGAGGGCUCCAGCCGUGCCACCCGCAGCGGAGUUGUCCAAGUGCAUCUGCGGGAGAGAAAUUUUUGCACCUGAAACCCCAUGAUGAGAGAAAAUGCCUUCCUUAAAUCCUGUCUUCAAAGAGAGAGCAGAGAGAGGCUGGAGCCCUGGAGACAAACAGUGUUCCUUGCCUUACCUUUCUGACAACAGCAGGUGUCGCCAGCCGUAAGUCCCUGCUGCAGUCACAGCUAUGCUGUGUGAUGAAGCUGCCAGUGACUCUCGUGGUGUGUGCACCAGCAGCGGCAGCCACCCCUACCACCAUUGGAAGUGCAGAAUCUCAGGCCCCUGCUUACCCGCUGACUCACCAUCUGGGGCACCAGGAGCCUCAGGCCAGUGUGAAAGGAUCUGGUCUCCUCUGCGGUUUCCACAGCUCUGCAGAGCCUCCGCCUCACUCCUCCUUACAGCGAGUGUGUCCUGACUCCCUGCUGGCCUGGCUCUUUCGGCUCUCACUCACUCGUUCCACUGCCAAGGUGACCGGCUGAACUGCAGUAUGAUGACACCCCUCGGCUUUAACUCCAGGAUGCUUCCCCCCCUGCAAACGUGGUCAAGAUUGGUCUCCAGGGGGAAACAGGCAUGCAGGGAUCUGCGUGCAGGAAACAGGAUCCCAUCUGUAGGGGAUAAAAAAGCAGCUGUCAGACAGAGACACUGCAGCACAUGAGGCACCGUAAAGGCAGCAAACCCAUCCCCAGAGCCAGUGGCCCCGCAGAGGCCUGGGCCUGUAUUUCCCACGUG